CCCGGAUUGAUUCACCACUCAAACGACGAUCGCUAUCGAUGGCGGAAAUCAAUUCAGCUGAUUAUAAAAAUCGAAGGAAGUCGUUGGAUUGCGAGCGGUCGGCACACCUGGCGUCAAAGGGGGCGGCAAAUAGCGAAGAACGGCGACGCGCGGUCGCCGGGCGUCGCGUGUGCCAUCAGCUUGUGUUAAAUGCGUGGCGCCGGCGGCGGUCCGACCUGGCGACGGCGGCUGAGUCACGCGAUCGUUUACAAAUAGAGACAAAUCAAUUAAAUCUACAAGUUGAAGUUCUUCAAAAAAUGCGUCAAUUUGAGGUUCAACGACGGAUUAAUACAAAUAACGAAAACAAGAAGUUGUUAUCUGAGUUGGAAGAAGUUAAGCAAACCAAUUCAAACUUA